rnacentral:lncRNA from 1 species
AGAGUUCUUCUAAUUGAAUGUUAUCAUAAAGAGGGAAUGGAGGGUUUGGAAGAGUGAGGGGGAGGAAUGAUUUUUUUUAUGGGCAGCUACUUUCCACCCCUACUCCAUUCUCUUCCACAGAGGGCCUGGCAAAGGGAACACUCUUCAAGGACUCAGGUCCUGUCUGCCAUGUCCCCAGCAACCAUCUGCCAACCAGUUUACCUGUGUGAGUGACUGCAGAAGCCCAGUGCCGGAGGCGAGCGAGCCUGGCUCACCUGCUUUGGGUCCUGGCACUGCAGCAGUUGAGCCGUGGUGGGGUGGCACCUGUGGCUGUGUCACCCCGGACCACUGUCCUUUAUCAGUGGAGCAUUUCUGGGUAUGAAGAUAUUCCAGGUCCUGAGCAACUUGAGGUCUGGGCAAGUCUGUCAGUGGAGAGUAGCCGUGGACUCAGCUAGUGAGGUUUCAGGGUUGGUAAAACACCAGACUUUUUGGAGGAGAGGCUAACAAAAUUUAACUAAUGGUCAUUUUCAGGGUUGGUAAAACACCGCAGACUUUUUGGAGGAGAGGCUAACAAAAUUUAACUAAUGGGUCAUUUUCACGGAAGGAAAGUAAAUGUGUGGCUUUGCAAAGAGACCAGUUCUAUUAUUUUUUGCUUAUACCCUAUUAAAACUAAAAAUUAGCAACUGUAUGGAUCCUGUAUCAGUAUGAGAUGUUGAACAGUUCUGGAAAUACGUGCAUAAGUCAAAGCCUAUUUAGCAAGCGGGUUAAUACUGUUUAUUAGAUAAAACAUUGUUUUAUAGCAGGUAUUAACACAUUCACAAUGUUUCAGUUCAACUGUAAGUGACACAGUAUUGUUUUUCACACCCAGUUCAGUUUCUAUGUAUAGCUUCUCUGAAUUGUACAAUGACUUCAUUCAGUGACCUGUGGAGAACAAAAAUAUUUUUUGUCCCAGUGAAAUGAGACUGCUUGUACACUUUUGGCAAAAAUAUGUGAGUUUAU